UUUACAAAACAAAUUCUUUAUUUAUUUUCUUCGCGCGUUUAUCUUCACUUUAAUGAGUGCCACUCGUACUAAAUGUUUAUCUGGCAGUAUUAAUUAUUUUCACUCGGUGUUGAAGUACAACUUAGCGUUGGAAAUUACCGCACUUAAGUCGUUGAAAAGCGCCAUUCAACUGUUCAAUUCGUGAUAGUUGUUUUGUUAAACAAGUGUUUAUUUGCCUUUUAACAAUGCCAUACUGAAAAAUGUUGUCAUGCCGUGCAGUGUUGUAAAACGUUCGAAAGUAUGCUAUGCACACAUACACAUACUUAUGCGUUAAUAGCUUGCCACCCACAAGCGGUUGGCUGUAAAAUGUAUUGGUGCACAAUUGUAGUAAUAUUGGCUGUUGCUGUUUGCCUUUUGAAUAGUUGGAGCGUCGUCAUUGUCUAUGCAAAGUAUAACAGCAAAUGUAAGAGCAACAAUGAAAUGUUAAACACCCUUUAAUGAGGUAAACCAGAAAAUUUGCCUAUAAAAUUGCUAUAAAUUCCAUAAACUCAGCUCUUAUUUCUCGGAAAAUUUCUUGUACAAGUUAAAGUAUGCAAGCAGCCGCAUAAAGCUUUUCGAAUGGCCAAUAAAUGUGGGUAAUAAUUGGUAUUUGAGGAUAAAGGCGAGUGGAGAAGGAAAAGUGUGGAAACACAACACUCAAGUUAACACAUAGAUAAGACAUACAAACCUAUAAUGGCACGCAUAAUGGCUAACCGUAAAAACAAGAAAUUCCGUUCGACGUUAUUGCAAUGAAUAGUUAUUAUGAAUAUAUGCUGAUAAGGUAUGUGUUAGAAGCAAACCAAACAGCUGAUUUGCAUUUCAAAGGCCGCCUGAUAAAUACAUUACUACAAAAAAUAUUAUAAUUCUAGCUAUAGACUUUGUGCACCAGUGUGGAAAAAUACAGAAUUAAGCAGAAAAGGAGAGCAAAAUAAAGCAAUAAUAAAGAAAGGUAAAACUUCGAAGAUAAUAUUAAUAUGCGUUAAAAGUAGUUGUGUUAUGCUUUGACGCAUAGAAGUUACCGCAGCUGCUGCUAUUUCGUUGAGAAAAUAAAGAGAUAAU